GGUGAGAUGGCCGAGUUGGUCUAAGGCGCCAGGUUAAGGUCAAGCUUAACACAAGAUAAGAUUGUUUCUAAUCUCCUGGUCUAGUAAUAGGCGUGGGUUCGAAUCCCACUCUCAUCA
rnacentral:tRNA from 2 species